AACGAACGCUGGCGGCAGGCCUAACACAUGCAAGUCAAACGCCCUAGCAAUAGGGAGUGGCAGACGGGUGAGUAACGCGUGGGAAUGUGCCUUUCGGUUCGGAAUAACUCAGGGAAACUUGAGCUAAUACCGGAUACGCCCUUCGGGGGAAGGAUUUAUUGCCGAAAGAUCGGCCCGCGUCCGAUUAGCUAGUUGGUGAGGUAAAGGCUCACCAAGGCGACGAUCGGUAGCUGGUCUGAGAGGAUGAUCAGCCACACUGGGACUGAGACACGGCCCAGACUCCUACGGGAGGCAGCAGUGGGGAAUAUUGGACAAUGGGCGCAAGCCUGAUCCAGCCAUGCCGCGUGAGUGAUGAAGGCCCUAGGGUUGUAAAGCUCUUUCGCCAGGGACGAUAAUGACGGUACCUGGAUAAGAAGCCCCGGCUAACUUCGUGCCAGCCGCCGCAGUAA
rnacentral:rRNA from 1 species